GAGAGAGAGAGAGAGAGAGAGAGAGAGUAUUGGUGGGACAUGAUAUAGUUUACUUGAGUAUCCGUUGCAAACUCAGAGAACGGGACAGCAACUUAUAAAAGAAAAUGUAUGUAAACAAACCUUUCCCUUGUCUGUCUGUCUGUCUGUCUCUCUCUCUCAAAGGAAUCUUGUAUGUGUGUGUUUUUCAAGCAAAGUGUAACCAAGGACUACUUUGCUGUCUGUCCAAAAUACUUCUUCCACAUUAUUAUACUCAAGUUCUCCCUUCAAGAGUUUAUGGAUUCUAACUGACACCACUGCUGCUGCUGCUGCUGCUAGUUCUAGUCUGGGAAUUGUUAUGGUUUUUAGAGGUGUGACACGUGACUUUGCCAUUACUAAUGCACAAUGAAUUCGGCCAGUCUUGCUAAUUAAUGUAAUAUAUGAGCACUGGCCACAUCCCUCUUGACAGGCAUCUGAAAAGUGAUGGAGUUCAACCUUUCCUACUUCCCCAAAGUCAUGGGGUUUGUAGCAUCUAGGUACCUUUAGCUGAUCUAGUUUGUGCAGCUCAUCCUUCCAUUUUAUCCAUUUAGGUUUGACAUAAUCUGGCACCUCAUCAUCCCAUUCAACUGCAUUCUUACAUAAUUCUUGUAAAAUUUGCUUUCCAGUCAGUAUGAGAGGUGACACCAGACCUAAUGGAUCAUAUAUAGAGGUCACUGUUGACAGAAUGCCUCUCCUGGUGAGUGGCUGGUCUUUCACCUUUAUUCUAAAUUGAAAUGUGUCAGAUUCUAUGCACCACUCAACUCCCAAAGUUCUUUCUAUAGGCAGUGUGUCUUCAUUCUUACUAAAAUCCAAACUUUUAAUUCCAUCUGCUCUCUCAUGAGGAGAAAUUGCAGCUAAUACAGCUUUGUUGUUGUUUGACAAGAACUUAUGAAGGUUGAAACCUCCCUUGUAACAUAAUUCUUUGCUCUGCUGAAUAAGAGUGACAGCUUCAUCCAUUGUAGCUACUGACUUCAAACCAUCAUCAACAUAAAAGUUGUUUGUUACAAACUUGGCCGCAUCAGCAUAAAAGGGCCAGAUUCUCAGGAAACCCUUUGUAUUAUUUGUAUGUGCAAUAUUUUUCUAUCCUCUGUGUCUAUUGUUUUAUGUCCAAAGGAUGGGUGGCAGGUUGCAUCAUCCUUCUUUGUUGUGCAGGCUUUAGUCCAACAAUAUAUGUAUCAAUUAAUCAAUCAUCUUGGUAAUAAAAAGAAUAAUAACAAUAAUUUUUAACUUUAUUUUCUCGGUUCUAUUUCCUUUCUUUAAUAAUAAUGAUGAAAAAAAAUAAUAAUUAUAUAAUUUAAUAUAACCUAACAUAGCCUAUCUUAGCUCAUAACAGAAAUAGGUAGCUCAGUUAAGUUAGGCCAGACUAAACUGCCUUACUUUAGGUCACUCAUGUAAGAGAAUUAUUGAUCUUAUUGUGCUAAAUCCUAAGGACUCCUGCUAUCUGAUGUCAUUCUACUUCUGUUCUCUUUCAAAUUUCUCCUCAUCUCCCUCCACUCCUUUGCACCGCUGUAAAGGGUCUUGGCGCACUCCCUUACCUCCUCCUCCUCCUCUGACGAACAGUUCCAGUGGUACUUGAAGAGGCCGCUCAGUUUAACAAGCUCAUUCUGGCUCACCU